CUCAGUCUGACUGCCUUCCAGCCCACUGCCGAUUCCAGCUGGGCCCUUUAUCCUCAGCCUGCCUCUUCACCCGCUUAUGCAGCCCGGUGACAUGCUCACCGCCUACCCCAGCACUCCCCAGAUACCAGCAGAAUCCUGUGGUAGUUUCCAAGGUAAAUAAUGGAGCCUUUAAACAGAUAAUUAAGCUAAAAUGAGGCCAAUGUGGUGAGCCCUGAUCCAAUCUAACUGGUAUCCUUAUGUGAAGAGGAUGUUUGGAUACAGAGAGAGACACCAGGUGUGUGCAUCCACAGAGGAAUGACCACGUGGACACAGCAAGAAGGCGGCCAAAGACAGAAGCCACAGAAGAAACCUAUCCUGCCCAACACCUUGAUUUUGGACUUCUAUUAAUAGCCGCCAGAACUAAACUGAGGCAUGAGGAGGUCACAUAACCUGACGGAGGUCACUUUGCUGAUGGAGUGCAGGGGCUGCAUCAAACUUUGUCGGUCUGGUUCCAGAGCUUUUGCCUUUAUUGUGGUGUCUCUGGAAUGUGUCAUCA